rnacentral:rRNA from 1 species
AGAGUUUGAUCCUGGCUCAGAACGAACGCUGGCGGCAGGCUUAACACAUGCAAGUCGAACGCUCCGCAAGGAGAGUGGCAGACGGGUGAGUAACGCGUGGGAACAUACCCCUCGGUUCGGAAUAACUCAGGGAAACUUGAGCUAAUACCGAAUACGGUCGAGAGGCGAAAGAUUUAUCGCCGAGGGAUUGGCCCGCGUCCGAUUAGCUAGUUGGUGAGGUAAUGGCUCACCAAGGCGACGAUCGGUAGCUGGUCUGAGAGGAUGAUCAGCCACAUUGGGACUGAGACACGGCCCAAACUCCUACGGGAGGCAGCAGUGGGGAAUAUUGGACAAUGGGCGAAAGCCUGAUCCAGCCAUGCCGCGUGAGUGAUGACGGCCUUAGGGUUGUAAAGCUCUUCAUCAGGGACG